rnacentral:rRNA from 1 species
GACGAACGCUGGCGGCGUGCUUAACACAUGCAAGUCGAACGGAAAGGCCCUGCUUUUGUGGGGUGCUCGAUUGGCGAACGGGUGAGUAACACGUGAGUAACCUGCCCUUGACUUUGGGAUAACUUCAGGAAACUGGGGCUAAUACCGGAUAGGAUCUCCUGCUGCAUGGUGGGGGUUGGAAAGUGUCGGCGGUUGGGGAUGGACUCGCGGCUUAUCAGCUUGUUGGUGGGGUAGUGGCUUACCAAGGCUUUGACGGGUAGCCGGCCUGAGAGGGUGACCGGCCACAAUGGGACUGAGGUACGGAGCAGACUCCUACGGGAGGCAGCAGUGGGGAAUAUUGCACAAUGGGCGGAAGCCUGAUGCAGCAACGCCGCGUGCGGGAUGACGGCCUUCGGGUUGUAAACCGCUUUCGCCUGUGACGAAGCGUGAGUGACGGUAAUGGGUAAAGAAGCACCGGCUAACUACGUG